AUGACGGAGCCCAAGUCAAGUCAAUGGCGAACGGGUCUCUCCGGUGCACAGGCGACCAUGGUCUGCACGAUGACCGAAGGCAUCGUGAAUAGGGUUUUGAGGUCCGUGAAGGCCAAGAUGCUUCAAAAGAACAAGACGGAGAUAAGAUGUCCGUGUCGAAGAUGCAAGCUGAAUAGCCUUAUUGCGGACCCGGAUUCCGGGCAGGUGCGGGACCACCUGUUCUUGCGUGGUUUCAUGGAUGGCUAUCGGUGGCAAGGUGAUGAAGAUGACUACGAAGUCGUCCAUGGGGGCCGGGCAAGAAAUGAGGAAGGGCAGCAAGACAACCACCGCGGCUCGGGGGGGCGAGAAGACGAAGAAUCCCCAGGAGAUGAUCACGACGGUGAUGCUGUACACAGUCAUCAUGUAGAAGAUGCAGGACAUGAUGAUGAUGCCGGCGGAGCAGACGACGCUGGACCAUCGAUGGGCUGGGUGCAGGACCCUCAUAUUCAAGAGCUGCUUCUCAAGCAGACGGAUAACGCAAGAGCUGCCGCCCGAGAGAAAGCCAAGAUGGAUCAACUUGAGUAA
rnacentral:rRNA from 1 species